rnacentral:rRNA from 1 species
CCUACGGGAGACAGCAGUGAGGAAUAUUGGUCAAUGGCCGUAAGGCUGAACCAGCCAAGUCGCGUGAAGGAAGGAGUAUCUAUGGUUUGUAAACUUCUUUUAUAGGGAAAUAAAGGUCUCCACGUGUCGAUGUUUGCAUGUACCCCAUGAAUACACAUCGUCUAAGUCCGUGCCAGCCGCCGCGGUAAUACGGAGGAUGCGAGCGUUAUCCGGAUUUAUUGGGUUGAAAGGGUGCGGAGUCGGUUUGAUAAGUUAGAUGUGAAAGGUCGGGGCUCAACCCCGAAACUGCCUUUAAUACUGUUUGACUAGAGAAUAGGUGCGGUAGGCGGAAUGUAUGGUGUAGCGGUGAAAUGCUUAGAGAUCAUACAGAACACCGAUUGCGAAGGCAGCUUACUAAACUAUAUCUGACGUUGAGGCACGAACGCGUGGGUAGCAAACAGGAUUAGAUACCCUUGUAGUC